rnacentral:rRNA from 1 species
GACGAACGCUGGCGGCGUGCUUAACACAUGCAAGUCGAACGGAAAGGCCCUGCUUUUGUGGGGUGCUCGAGUGGCGAACGGGUGAGUAACACGUGAGUAACCUGCCCUUGACUUUGGGAUAACUUCAGGAAACUGGGGCUAAUACCGGAUAGGAGCUCCUGCUGCAUGGUGGGGGUUGGAAAGUUUCGGCGGUUGGGGAUGGACUCGCGGCUUAUCAGCUUGUUGGUGGGGUAGUGGCUUACCAAGGCUUUGACGGGUAGCCGGCCUGAGAGGGUGACCGGCACAAUGGGAACGGGGAUCCGCCCCGACUCCUUCGGGGGGGAAGAGGGGGGGAUAAUGCACAAAGGGCGGGAGGCCUAAGCAGCAACGGCGGGUGGGGGAUUACGGGCUUUCGGGUGGAAACCGGUUUUGGCCGGGAACAAGGCUGAGGGACCGGAAUUGGGAAAGGAAGCACGGCCUACCACGGU